UCCCUGAUAGCUCAGUUGGUAAAGAGUCUGCCUGCAAUGCAGGAGACCUGGGUUCAAUCCCAGGUUGGGAA
rnacentral:tRNA from 1 species